rnacentral:rRNA from 1 species
ACGGAGGGGGCUAGCGUUGUUCGGAAAUACUGGGCGUAAAGCGCACGUAGGCGGCUCAGCAAGUCAGGGGUGAAAUCCCGGGGCUCAACCCCGGAACUGCCCUUGAGACUGCUAGGCUAGAAUCUUGGAGAGGUCAGUGGAAUUCCGAGUGUAGAGGUGAAAUUCGUAGAUAUUCGGAAGAACACCAGUGGCGAAGGCGUCUGACUGGACAAGUAUUGACGCUGUGGUGCGAAAGCGUGGGGAGCAAACA